UUAAGUUAAUUCGAGCGCGCCGGUCACACGUUCGAUCGGUACUCGUUACGGUAAUCUCGACAACCGCGAUCGUUCUUCAUUGGCACCGGUGCUGACACUGAUUCGCCGUAAUAACAGAGCCUAAUUCCGGCCGGUCGAUCAGCUCAAUUGUCAAACUACGUACGCGACACAAAUCAACUGGAUACGAGAUAAACGGUUCGUGGCUGAGAAUGAAGAAAUCUUACGAUGUUGCAAGGCUAUUUGCGAGGGGCGUCGUUAUUAGUUUAACCCUCUAUCGAUCAGCCAUCGUAUAACGAGCGCGACCAUGCGUAGUCGCAUUCAUAAUCGGAUACCAUGCGUGCCGGCGAAUCGGUGAAUCGCAUUCUUUCGUUGUGUUGCCAUUGGAAUUUAAAUACGCAUGGAGCCAAACAAAAGGAAAGAGCGCAAUUAAAACGGGAUUUAGGAUUCCAACGAUUGUAUACGUUGAUCUCAAACAGGACGAAAUAAAGCGGAGAAAUGUCAAGGCAGAGCGAGAGGUGACCGCACAAUAGCAGUCUUGAUCUGGGAUUUAAUCGCUGCUUAUUAAAUUUCAUUGUCUUGCUUCGAGAAGGAUUCUUCCGUCUUUUAAACACUUCUGUGAGUAAACUGUUAAACAUUCGAAUUAUAUCGUACAUCGAUGCACGUAUGUUCCUGAGAAUAUAACAAGAUUCGAAGAGAGAAGAGCCAGUUGUGUAACGCGUUUCCGAGGUUUAAAUUGAUUUUCACCCUUGAAUUCCACGUCAGAAAUCACGGACGAAGAUCCAAUAUCCAGACGAAGAAACAUCCCCUAAUUUUUUAUUUCCACCAACUGAUCGCCUUUCACUAGAGUGACGAUGAAGGGUAGGGGAAAGCUCCGAAGGAAACAAGAUGGAGUUAACGUCGCUAGCAGCUGUUGGUACCCGCGGUGUAAAUAAAUGGAACUACUCUACGAAAAGUGUACGCUCUUUUGUCCGCGAAUUGACAAGUUGCAUGUUGCACGAAUACACUUGGCCACUGGAUCGUUUGUUACAAACCAUGGACGAAUCACGUAAGAAUACAAAGUUCCAAUUAUUACAAUUUUUCCUUUCUUCAUACGACGCAUCGAUGCGUAACGCUUUUACAAACUUUAAACGCUAAUUUCUAAAGAAAUAUAUUGAAAAUAUAAUGUAAAAUAUAAAUUAUCAGGAAACUUACACGUAUUCAGAACGGUAUGGCAGGAUUUAAAAAAAAAGCUAUCCUUCACGAGAAGUAUAGUGAAAUUUUUAUGUAUACGUAUCCGCAAUUUUAUAUAAAAUUCAGACUUUGCACCUCGUUUAUAUGCGGUGGAUCGCAUGCUGCAUAAAUAUGCGUAGAAAUACGGGCAGAAAAAUGCGCAUAAAGAAGGCUGGCGUGCGUGUACACUCGAAGGAUGGUGAAAAAGGCCUGUACCAUCCCUUGCAUCGUUGCUUAGGUGCAGAUUAUACGGUUAGGGGAGAGUAUCCUGACUACUAACCAUAUCGGAAAUAUCGUUCUGUGGAUUUUCAAGCCUGUCUUCUACGCUCCCUCAAAUUCACCAACGUGCAGGAAUAAUAGAAGCUCGAGGAAACGCACGGAUGAGGGCGGAAAUCGAAAAAUCCGGAUCAAAGCUUAGCGGCGGUCUUUACUCACACCAUCGGGAUAUAAUACCUCGUUAUCUUGAAUAAAUAUUCUCUUUCUCGAAGGAAUAUCGUCAAUGAAUUUAACCACUGAGAAGCGAAAUUUAAUUAAACAAGAUACCGAGAGCAGUGGAAUUAAGAUUUCGAGAUUGCGCGGGACAUGAAAUUCUAAUCGAUACGUAGAGAUUUCGUACAUUUGUGUUUGGUAAAUUAAUGUUCGACAUUUUAAUGGACAAUACGAAUAUUAACCGAGUUUCCCUUUAAUCAAGAACUUGUGCAACGUACAGUGACAGAAGAUAUCUUCUGACAACAAUCGAUAUCUUAAUAACUGCUAUCCUUUCAACUUCCAUCUGUAUAAGUAAGAGAUAGUUUUAUGAAAUAUCUGUAGAGUACAAGUUAUUUAUUCAACAUUUAUGUCGGUAUCGAGGAUCACAGAAAUUCCGUGGGAUUCUAACAUUGACUUGCAAAUAAAUUUAGCAAACGAAUCGGCAGCCCCAUUCUGUCGGUCAGCAACGGAGGACGUGGAUCAUUAUCGUCUAUUUCUCACUUGAAAAACUCGAGAAUCGAUAAGUUGGAGAAAAGGAAUAUCCGGUCUUUGCCGAGGUGAAUUGAAAGGAAGCACGAGGAACGAAGGAUCGCAUUGAAAUCAGAAAUGAAUGUCCAGGAUACAUCGUUGGGUUCGUAAAAAAGAAAAAAAGAAAGAAAGAAAAAUGAAAAAGAAGAAGGAAACGGAAAAUAUAUAUCCCAUCCUUUGAGAAACCUUCUUUAUUUCAAGUUUUAUUUUCAUCGCAGCGACGCUUCAACUUGGAAGAAAGGAAGUUCACUGAUCGGAAAGAGACGUGUACGAAGAAUGCAGAAAGAAACGAGUUAGAAUGGCAGGAUUGAAGAGAACUACGAACAAAUCGAGCCUCUUGAAAUUGCCGAAGGAUAGCAGCAGAUCGAAGAAAAAGGCCAAGAUGAAUUCAUCGAAUAAAAUAAAAGGGAUCGACGAAGAAGUUCUGUAUUAAUAAAGUUGAUCUAAACGUUCUAAAUUAAAAAGAAACGUAGUUGUAUCGCAGUUUAGACGUCGGGCGCCGUUUCCACAUUUCGCAACACUCUCCGCUUCGUUUUUCGAAUAUUUGUGGUGCACAUAGCGGCAGGUGCAAGAAUUGUUGGUAAAAAUAACAAGUGAAAUUCUCUGCUUUAGCUGCUAAUUAAAGGCUGAAUUAUAAAUGGAGCGAUAAACAGGAUUGGCCUGCUAUCGAUCGUUUCCUCAACUCCUCGCUCCCUGGUCUCCUCGUAAUUUCCAGCGAAUUAUUCAAAUUCUAUCGGUGCACCACUCGAUUCAGCGUCGAAUAAAACAACGUCGAAAAUCGUAUCACGCGUCGUGAAACAAAAAAUAAAAAAGAAAAGAAUAAAAAAGACAGAUAGGAAAAGGAAAAAGAAUGUACUUUCAUCGGUGGAGUGACGUAACACAGCCAGCGAUUUUUUUUCCCAAGCACGACGAGCCUCGCCGUCACUCAGCUGUCUCGUUUCACAGUGAAGUUCAGCAAAUUGCAAUCUCUCCCUUUUUUCCUAGAUUCCCUUAUUUGUCCUCCCUUUGCUCGCCCACCUCUCUCUCUCCCUCUCUCUUUGAGCUACCCUCCUGGAAUCUCCUGCUUUUCAACGAUCAACCCCUCUCUUCUCUGUCAGAUACACGUGUCGACUGCGUGUCCUUUUCAGAACGUCUUGACGCGUACACGACACGCGCUGUUACGUGCGUUCGCACGUGGGCACAGGUAAGAAUAGAGAAGUGCAAUGCGAUACGGAUGAAAUACCAAUGAACGCCACUCAAGUGGAGGUUCACGCGUCUUUUCAAAGUUCGAUCAUUCGUCCCACGAUACUGACCCAGUUUUACAACUUCGUCCAUUUCGGUUGCUCUCUUUUGUUUCUAUGAUCUUUUCGAUUUAAGCGUUUUAGCGAGAACAGCGAAAUCUAAUGUUACUCUUAUGCGAUGACAAAUCUAAUUAAAUGUUAAUUAGUUGGACGUUGUUGGGAAGCAUGGAGGAGUUUACCUUACGUGGACGAAAGCAAAAUGCAACGACUUUUAAUUCAUAAUGAAUUCAUUAAAAAUAUGGUUAAGAUGUAACGUUAAUUACGGAAACGUGUAGGUAAUUUUAUAAUUGUAAGGGAGGUUUGUAAAUACUAAACGUAAGAAAAAUGUAUAAGCAUAGAGCAGUAAGGAAUAAAAGCGAGUAAAAAUUCGUAAAAGGAAAGUACACGUAACGUUGCGAAACAGUCACCUUAUUUCGCCUAUUGAAUCUACAAGUGGUUGGUUGACUAUUUGAGUACGGAGCACGACAGUGGUGAAUUCAAGAAGAGCAAAGGAUAUCGGACACAGAUUUCCACGUGGAAUGCCAGAUUAAAGGUAAGAAGGAGUAUUUGUUUAAACAACCACAGAGUUUUUUUAGCUGUCACAAAAUUAUCGAUGUUCUAUGUGUGAAAUAAUACGCACUAGAAGAUGAGAACGCGAAAGCACUUGUUAUUUGAAAAUCUACAAACUUGCAAGAGCAAAUAAAGAGAAAUACGUGGUAGGAAAAUCGAGGCGUAGACUGACUCUGUACAAGAUAGAAUAGACGUAAAAAAGGAGAAAGAAAGAAGAAAAAGAACAGCAGAAUAUUUGUAGUUCAGAAGAUAGCGAUCGAGAAUAGAACGUGAAAGAAGAAAAUCACAACAACGACCGUGACAACCAAGAGAAAUAAACCUUGGCGCCAGUUUCUAUCUUUUCUCGUUCAACGGUGCAGCGGCAGCACCCUUUUUUCCAGGAAAAUAAAAUCGUGGAACAUGGUCAGGAAUGCAAACACAUUUUUCACUCGAAACAUCCCACGCAUUGGGAACGCGCGAACCAAAUGGCAAUUGUUCGUCGAAUAGGUAUAUAUUCCACGUGCGACGCAACUCGAGAAGCAACAGAGAAAAAAUCGUAAAAAAAAAAAAAAAUAAAUAAACAAAUAAA